AGCAACCUGUAUAAUUUUAAUCUGAAUAACCCCAACAUUAAUAACUCCAAUCCUAAUGAUAUAAACCCUAAUAACCCAACUAUAACUUUAACAUUAAUAACCUAAACACCAAUAUCCCCAACCCUCUGACUCUAGCCCUAACGUCACCAACCCUAAUAACUCUAACAUUUAUACCCCCAAAUUCUUAGCUUAAGACAUCCUUCACUAUGUGAAGUAUUUAUAUUGUUUCCAACAAUGAAAGUUUUUCCCCCCCUCAACAUCAGUCGAAUUUACUAGGACAAAAGUGUCAAAAUGGGUCUUUUUUUGUGUGUAAGAAUGUAAGAAGUACAUUAAUCACCUCUUACAUACUUCUUGUGCUUCUAAUUUCCCUCCACGGGUUGUAUUGAAGCCUGGAGUUAAUCGAGUUGUGGUUUAAUGGCGCCCUCUGGUGGAAAUCAGAUUAUAUUACCGAUAAGCAAACCUGUGACUGUUAAAUUAAACUUUAUACACAGUUCUGUAUUUGAGCCACAUUAUUAAAACUGACAUAACGUUUUAAAUGUUAAAUUAAAAUUCAACAGUCGCCAGGUCAUUGUGCUGGGAGACAAGGAGGUCGACUACGACCCCAACUUUAAACUGUAACUCAACACCGAACUGGCAAAUCCCAAAUAUUCAUGGCGGAAAGCCAUGGUCAUAAACUACACUGGUGAGGAAGAGAGAGACUGUGGACUUCAUACACAGGGCUGUAUUCAAGUCCAUGCCUCUGUUUUAGACAAGCUCCACCCCCAUGUGCUUAACUCUCACACAACCACUGAAUGGUGCCUAAGUUUGUUAUAUUUAAGAUCUAAAUAUUGAUGUGUGUAAUUCCAGUAUUAAAUCCUCACUACACUGGAGGACUCCCUGCUCCGAGAGCUCGCCACGUCCACGGGCAACAUGCUGGACAACGUGGAGCUCGUCCACACACUCGAGGAAACCAAGUCCAAAGCUAAAGGAAAAAUCCAUUCCCACUAGCAAGCGAUAUGAGUUUAUUUUGUCUUUGUGCACGGCACGCAGACGUGAUUCACUCAAAGGCAGCAAGUGACGUCUGAACUGAGAUUUUCUUCAUUAUUAUGUGUAAAUUAGGUGUGAUGUAGUAAAGCAGAUCACAGCACUUUGCUCAAAUGAUUUCCAACCAUCUGACGUGGUCUUCCGCUCCCCACUCCUAACUUUAGUUCCUACCUGUGUGGUGUGUAUAGUGACAUACACGCUGACAAAGCUCAACGAUAUAACUGUGCUAGAGAGAGGAUGUGAUCAGUAGAUAAUCAGUAACGCCUCUAUGUGGUGUAGGGAACCUCUCGCUGGAGAAGAGUAAGAGGAAGAAGCCGUGUGAUUGGCUGCCUGAUCAGGGCUGGGAGGAUAUUGUGCGUCUGACUGAACUUUUCCCAAACGAGUUCGGCUCAUUGAUAGGCGACAUGGAGAAGAUUCCCACCGAAUGGAAGGAUUGGUAUGACCUGGAUGCCCCGGAGCAGGCUCCCUUCCCCGUGAAGUACGCGGAAAGCCUGACAGCUUUCCAGAAACUUCUUCUUCUGCGCUGCUUCCGGGUGGACCGAGUGUACCGCGCCGUCAGCGACUACGUCACCAUCACCAUGGGAGAGGCGUAAGAAAGAGGGAUCACUCCUAAAGUGUUGUGUAUCUCUAAAGCAGUGUUGUGUAUCUGCAGUGCCUUGCAUAAAGCAUAUUCAUCCCCCUUGAGCUCUUCCACAACCUGGAACUUAAUUAGCAUAUUUGAUUCAUGGCUUGACUUUAUCUCCUCACUGUCUUCUGCCAUUAGAGCUCUGCAAUGUAUAAUGUCACAUCUUUUUCAAGGAGUGGCCCAACUUAAGAGCAAGGCUUGGAGUCUGGUAGGAGUUAUUUUCGUCAUCAAACCCAGACACCUUCUUGACAGCUUGGGUACGAGGACAUUCAGCGCGCGCACGCAUUGGCGCAGGGAGACCUGGACUUCAUCAGGUCCUAUUCCAAGCUAUUGGAGAACAAGGACAAGUACAUCCUGACUCAGUGUAAGCGACUGGAAGGAGGUUUGGAUAAAUUGGAGGAAGCCAGUGUGCAGCUCGCCGAACUCAACACCAAGCUGGCCGAGCAGAAAGUGGUUCUGGCCGAGAAGUCCUCCGCCUGCGAGAUCCUGCUGAACGAGAUCUCCACCAACACAGCUGUCGCCGAGGAGAAGAAGAAGCUAGCGGAGGAGAAGGCCGAGGUGAAUAAAGUGAUCUGCGUGGAGAAACUGGAUGCUGAGAGCUCUCUGGCCGAGGCUCUGCCCGCGUUGGAGGCAGCUCAUGUCGCCCUGAAGGACCUGGAAAGGUCUGACGUCUGUGAGAUCAUCUCAUGUCGCCCUGAAGGAGUCUACGAGGACAUUCAGCGCACGCAGAGACGCAGGGAGACGCAGAGGUGCAGAAAGAGACGCCUCAGAACACACUGAGAACGCCGGUCUACACAACGUCCAUGAGGAGGAAUGCAGUGGGCGUCGGCCUGGUGUUCGAGGCUGACCUCUUCACCACCAAACACCACUCACGCUGGGUCCUACAGGGAGUGUGUCUCUGUCUCAACGCUGACUGAUAUCUCUCUCUCUCUCUCUCUCUCUCUCUCUCUCUCUCUCUCUCUCUCCCUCUCUCUCUCUCUCUCUCUCUCUCUCUUCCUCUCUCUCUCUCUCUCUCACUCUCUCUCUCUCUCUCUCUCUCACUCUCUCUCUCUCUCUCUCUCUGUCUCCCUCUCUCUCUCUCUCUCUCUCUCUCUCUCUGUCUCUCUCUCUCUCUCUCUGUCUCUCUCUCUCUCUCUCUGUCUCUCUCUCUCUCACUCUCUCUCUCUCUCUCUCUCUCUCUCUCUCUCUCCCCGAAAUUCCAGUUUUCUGUUUUGUUUCACUAUUAAAUUGUAUUUUUAGAUAUUUAGAGAAUUACACUGUUACAGUUCCCUCAGUUGCAGUUUAAAUAGCUUUUUUAAAAUGUUCACUAUAAAAGUAAAUAAAUAAAAACGAUAGCAAGAGAAAAUAUCUUGAAUGAGAUCAUAAUAAAAACCAUAAGAGCAUUCAGGCCAUUUCUAAACAUUUCAGCCAUUUCAUAUAUGGACUUGUUUUGUUCUCUUGGUGGAUAAUUUUGUACAUUUCAAGCAUUUGUUUUUAACAUAACAA